UGGUGUAGUGUUUAUUGACAGCGCUCGUGCGUUGCAUGAUGGUUAAGCGCGACCGUUCUAAACAGUUCUAAAGUCAUUUUAAUGCAUAGGAUUUGAUCUAUAUUUUUAUUUUUAAUUUUCCCCCCGAAUGUCUGUCCUACGAUCAAACGAACGAGGUUGGCUGUUGGAUGCAUGUUCUUUGAUAAACGAAGGAUUUGAGCAGUGCUACAGUGUAAACAAGGGACACUUCACGUGCUAUUUCAAUAAGCAGUGCUUUAAUGUACUGAAACCUUAUAUAGUGAAUAAGUCUGGUGGUGAUUGUAUGGUCGGUGCUCUAUCAAACACAGAGAGACAUGCGGCUGGGGAUACCAGAAUAGAGCUAAAGAAUCGGAAGUGAAUAAGCCUGAGGUGAAUGAGGCAACUGUGACAAGGAAAAACUCCCAUAGAUGGAAAAGGAACAAGACUCAAAAGGAUACAUCAUUCAUCUUCAGCUUCUCUCUUUCUACCCAUCCCGAGGCAUCCAGAAAUUGUACCAGCUCCGAUUGUCUUCCAUGCGAUGAAGAUUUUGGACCUCCACUGAGAUGAGGACGACUCUGUGAGGAUCCUGAGGCAUCUAAAUAUUUACCAGCUCCAGUUAGAUGCUGCAAUACUAAAGAGGAGAUGGCAACUCCAUGUGGUCUUUGAGGAAAACAAUCUCCUCAUCACUACAACAUUUAUCAUACUGUAUAUUUUAUAAUCACACCCUCCAGUGUCACCCAUAUGAGGAUGAGGUUCCCCUUUGUGUCGCCUCAGACUUGCUCAGUGGGGAUAAAUACAAACACAUUUAAAUAUAUCUAAUAUUAAUCUUGAAUUUUGUAUUAUAUUCAUCUUUAUAUUAUUCUUUAUAAUAACCUUUUGUUCUAUGUUUG